rnacentral:lncRNA from 1 species
GGCUGAGGCAGGAGAACGGCCGUGAACCCGGGAGGCGGAGCUUGUUGUGAGCGGAGAUCGCGCCGCUGCACUUCAGCGUGGGUGACAGAGCAAGACUCCGUCUUGAAAAAAAGAAAAGAAUUCCAACCAGCAGUACAAAAAGAAAAGAAAAGAAGCUAUAGCAAAAGCUCCACUAACUGACCUGUGGAAAGAGAGUCACAAGCAUGGGCGAAGUAUCUCCCUUAGGGAGAACAAGAAUUUGUUCUCUGUCUUGUGUCUCACCAACAAAAUCCAGCAUCUGAUAGACAAAGAGUCACAGUGCAUAAAAGAAAUGUCCGCCUGAGUGCCGUAAUCACCAUGUCAUCCCGUCCUCCUCUGGCCAUCAGCCUAGGCAGCUGGAAAGGUGACUUCCUGACCAGAAUGAAAGAAUCCUAGCAGCCACGAGGAGCUGAGCCUUGUGGGGUAUCUCAGGACCAGGCAUGGGUGACAGUGAUGCUGGCUUCUGACAGGGAAGAUCACCCUAGCCAGCAAUGGAACUAACUGGGUCGUGGGACCAGGAAGCAUCCCUCUUUCCUUGUCUGUGAUUAGUGGUUCACAUUGGAUCUCACAGCCUCCUUGGGAGGCAGACAGUGCCUCUAGCAUCAUCUCCAAAUUACAGAUAUGGAAACAGCUAGGCUUAAAUAAAGAAAUUCAAACUCAGAUUCAGGGCACAGCGCCAAUGCUUCCUCCACUGUGCCAUGUUGAUCCAUAAAGUUGAAAGCCUCUGGCUAGGGACCAUAACUGCAAACAGGAGAAAAAGAAGGAAGCUAGAAAGAAAAGGAAUCACCCUGGACUCACACCGCAGGCUCCCAGUCACCUUUCAGAGACUUGGGGGAGAAAUUGCAAGACCAAGUGAGGGCCAAGUAAGCUGCCCCUGUGUAAUCUUAUCCCGAUAUUCACCACCAGGGGGGGUAGUUGCUCCACAUCGGUGGUCUUUCUGCGGCGCUAAGGAGGUAUUUGCUAAGGGUGAGAGACCCUCAGGGCUCUAAGGGGUCUUUUUCUCUCUCCCUUGCCCGAGUGCUGCCUGCAUUUGCUUAGCACGCGUCACCCUGUUUUAGAUAAGGAAGGCAUUGCAGAGAUCAUCUGGUCCCAGGCAGCUGGCAGUUCCCCCUACUCUUAAGAGCUCCAAAAAUAGACUCCAGCACCUCAGUUGGCUGCUAUCACAAGGCUGCCGGUGUGGUCUGUUGGCUGCCCACAGCCCUGAAACAGGAGCCGGACUAGGGCGGGUGAGCCCCAGGCGACCCUGCAUUCGCCCUUGCGGAGGAAGCAGCGGUUCCUCCUGCCCUAGAGACCCUGCACAGCUGCCCCAGCACCUGCUCCCACGGCACCUGCUCCCACCCUUCUGGCCUCCUCACUGGCCAUGCCGGCUCCCCUCCGUGCCCAGUGCCUGAAACCCUUGGCUUGCAAGCCCAAAGGCUGCAGCCCCUUCGUCUGCCUCUUGAGCUCCUUAUUCUAAGAAGCAGCCUUGGUAGAGGUGAGCCUGGGCUCACAGAACCCCAUUUAGCAUCUACUCCCGCCUUCUCUUGUCCCCA